rnacentral:rRNA from 1 species
UGCCAGCAGCCGCGGUAAUACGGAGGGUCCGAGCGUUAUCCGGAAUCAUUGGGUUUAAAGGGUCCGCAGGCGGUCAAUUAAGUCAGAGGUGAAAUCCCAUCGCUCAACGAUGGAACUGCCUUUGAUACUGAUUGACUUGAGUUAUAUGGAAGUAGAUAGAAUAAGUAGUGUAGCGGUGAAAUGCAUAGAUAUUACUUAGAAUACCGAUUGCGAAGGCAGUCUACUACGUAUAUACUGACGCUGAGGGACGAAAGCGUGGGGAGCGAACAGGAUUAGAUA